rnacentral:rRNA from 1 species
UACGUAGGGGGCAAGCGUUGUCCGGAUUUAUUGGGCGUAAAGAGCGUGUAGGCGGCCAUGCAGGUCCGUUGUGAAAACUCGAGGCUCAACCUCGAGACGCCGGUGGAAACCGUGUGGCUAGAGUCCGGAAGAGGAGAGUGGAAUUCCUGGUGUAGCGGUGAAAUGCGCAGAUAUCAGGAGGAACACCAAUGGCGAAGGCAGCUCGCUGGGACGUGACUGACGCUGAGACGCGAAAGCGUGGGGAGCAAACAGG